rnacentral:rRNA from 1 species
UCUUGGUCAUUUAGAGGAAGUAAAAGUNGUAACAAGGUCUCCGUUGGUGAACCAGCGGAGGGAUCAUUAAAGAGUUUUUACAACUCCCAAACCCCUGUGAACGUACCUCUUGUUGCCUCGGCAGGCCUCGCGCCACCCUGUAGCCCCUACGCUGUAGGGCUUACUCGGGGAGCGCGGGGGUCCCUGCCGGCGGCCUGCGAAACUCUGUUUAGCACUGAAUUCUGAAUAUAUAACUAAAUAAGUUAAAACUUUCAACAACGGAUCUCUUGGUUCUGGCAUCGAUGAAGAACGCAGCGAAAUGCGAUAAGUAAUGUGAAUUGCAGAAUUCAGUGAAUCAUCGAAUCUUUGAACGCACAUUGCGCCCAUUAGUAUUCUAGUGGGCAUGCCUGUUCGAGCGUCAUUUCAACCCUUAAGCCCCUGUUGCUUAGCGUUGGGAGCCUACGGCAGCGUAGCUCCCCAAAGUUAGUGGCGUGGUCGGUUCACACUCCAGACGUAGUAAAUUUUCACCUCGCCUGUAGUCGGACCGGUCCCCUGCCGUAAAACACCCCAAUUUCUAAAGGUUGACCUCGGAUCAAGUAGGAAUACCCGCUGAACUUAAGCAUAUCAAUAAGCGGAGGGAGG